rnacentral:lncRNA from 1 species
GGGAGCUCCGCGCUGGCCAGGCCGCCUUUGCCACCCCCGCGUGAUGCGCCGGGGGGCGGGAGGAGCCUGCGGGGGCGGGGGGCGCGUCUCAAGGUCCUCCCUGCACAUCUGGCGCAAUGGGGAGCGUUCGCCUUUCUUUCCCGGGUUUUGUUCUCACAGCUGUGUCCAUUCCGCCCGUGACCCCGCGAGUGAUCCCUGACAGUCACCAUGUAACAAAUGCAGACAUCUCUGAGAUCACCAUGCAGUGAGGAAGUCUAAGCUGGUGGCAUGAAGAGGCCACAUGGAAAGGGCUAAAAAAGGGGCCAGCCUCAGUCAUCCCAGCUGAGCACCUGGCUGGGAAUAAAAGAGGACUCCGUGGAUGUCCAGCCCAGUAAGAUGACCUCAGCCCCAGCCACCAACUGACCAAGCACACAAGACAUCGUGAGGCUGCCUGCUGGAGCCUGGCCAGUGGGACUGUAGAGUAACUCAUUGUCGUGCAGGAACUCCUGGGAUGGUGUUGCCCAGUGACACAAUCCCAGUGUGGCCAUUUCUGAUCCCGAGAAAGCAGUCAGGAGUGGGUGGAUGCAGUUACAGUUCAUCAAGUCCUGCUAGUUCAAGUCAUGAGUCCUGAAUUCUCCAGGAGGAGCCACUAAAGAAAUGCAGAAGCAGGCAAUCCUUGCAAUAAGGCCAGCAAACUGCCAGUGUGAAGGAUGCCCAGGUAACCUGCCCAUGCCAGAACGGCCAGGAGAUGGUGGAACCAGAAUCUAAGCCCACGCCCAUCUGACCUCAAAGUCUGUGCUCCUGAGGUUCGCACCGAGUUGCCUCCUAAGACUUGCUGAAACUGGAUCACGUCCAUUUACCCAUCUCUGAGAGAAAUGCAAGCUUUAAAAAAGGAAAUAUUUACUAUGGAUAUUUUACAAUAGUUCCAAAACAUGAAAGUUUUAAAUAAGAUAUUCUUAACCAUCCUCACCACAUCUUC